CUUGUAGAGAGCUGAGUCUCAAUCUCACACUCAAUUAGAAAUGGAGUCCAGUUUCAAAACCCAACCACUCCUCCCCCUUCUCCUUCUUCUCUUCACCUUCUCUUUUUUUACUGAAUCAAACCAGUUUUGUGAUGCUGGGAUUGAGUAUGGUGAAUCGUCAUGUGGAGUUUCGGCUUCAUCGUUGAAGAUAUUAAUUAAAGGGUGAACUGUUGUGAAUGCUCAUAGAGAGGUGGUUGCUGAUGUUUAUGUGAAGGAUGGGAUCAUUGUUGCUGUGAAGCCUAAUAUCAAGGUUGGUGAUGAUGUUACCGUGCUUG